AGAAGAAGAAGAGAAGUUGAGGGAGAAGAGAAGAAAAGAAGAAGAGUAGGGAAAAGAAGAGAUUAGGAAGAAGAGGGAGAAGAGAAGAAAAGAAGAAGAAGAAGAAGAAGAGAGGGAAGAUGGAGAGGAGAGAGAGAGAGAGGUAGCAGCUGCAGCUAGGGCUGCAGCACCUCUGUUUCCCGCAGGUGGAAACAGAGGAGAGGAUGUGUGGGGCGUUGGGGAGGAAGAAGAAGAAGAAGAGAGGAGGAUAGCUGUGGCGAGGCUGCAGCGAGGAGGUGUGUGGCGUUGGGGAGGAAAAAAAAGGAAGAGGAGAAGAAGAGAAGGAGAAGAGAGGGAAGAGGGAGAGGAGCGAGAGGUGGCAGCAGCUAGGGCUGCAGCACCUCUGUUUCCUGCAGGUGGAAACAGAGGAGAGGUUUGGGGCAUUCGAAGAGGAGGAGAAGAAGAAGAGGAAGAGAAGAGGAAGAGGAAGCAGGAGAAGAGGUUGUGAUACCUCUGUUUCCUGCAGAGGAAACAGAGGAGAGGGUGUGUGUGACGCUGGGGAGGAGGAGGGAAGAAGAAGAGGAGAAGAAGAAGAGAAGGGAAAGGAGGAGCUGCGGCUGCGGCGGUGGAAUCUGCAGCUGGAAGAGAAGGAGAGGAAGAGAUGGUGAGGAAGAAGAGAGGAAGUAGAAGCGGGUGAAGAGGCAGCACCUCUGUUUCCUGCAAGAGGAAACAGAGGAAAGGAGGUGCUGUUCGUCGGGGAGAAGAAGGGGAGGAAGGAGAAGAAGAGAAGAAGAAGAAAGGAAGGAGAAGGAAGAGGAGAAGGGAAAGAAGUAGCUGCGGCUGCGGCUGCGGCUGCGGCUGUGGCAGCUGCAGCUAUGGCAGGGAAAGAGGAAGAGAAAGGAAGAAGGGAAGGAGAGGAAGAAGAGAAGGGAAAGAAGGGGCUGCGGCUGCGGCGAUGGCAGCUGCAGUUGGAAGAGAAGAAGGAGAGGAAGAUGAGCAGGGGAGGAAGAAGAGGCUGUGGCUGUGGCUGAGGCUGCGACUGCAGCAGUGCAGCUGGGAAAGAAGAGAAGGAAAGGAAGAAGAAGAGAAAGGAAAAGGGAAGAAGAGAGGAAGAGGAAAAGGGGAGGCAGCUGUGGCAGUGGCAGCUGCAGCUGGAAGAGAGGAGUGGAAAUAGAGCAGGGGAGGAAGAAGAGGCUGCGGUUGUGGUGGCUGCGGCCAUGGCUGUGACUGCGACUGCGGCAGUUGCAGUUGGGAAAGAAAGGAAAGGAAAGGGGAAAAAAGGGGUUACGGACGGGAAUGCGGCCGCAGCGACAGUGACUGCGUAUGCAGCAGCGGCAGCGGCGGUGGUUGUGAUAGCUGCGUUUGAAAAAAAGAAAACGAAGGAAUGAGAGUAAGAGAGAGCAGGUGACUAUGCCUCUAUGUUCUGCAUGAGCUGCAGUUGUGGAGGAAAAGUAGAAGGAUUUGGGCUGACACAUUCUUUGGAUCUUCGGAUCAAAAUAUUUGAAAGGUAAGCUUGUCACCAUUUGAGAUGUUUGAUUUGGGCUGAGGCAGUGGAUAGCUAUUCAGAAUUAUGGGCAAGUCUUGUUGGUUGUUAUGCUAUUGUUGUAUAAGUAUAUUUUGUAUGUAAUGAAAUGUUGUUGAUGAAUCGAAAUGGAUAUACUGUGUAAAAGUGUUAGAAGAUCUCUCUUAUUUGGAAUUUCGGAAUGUUAAGUCUAAUUUAUGACGAUAUGAACUUGUGGUGAAUAGUUGGAGUUCUGAUUGUAUAAUUUAUUUAGCUUGUGGAUUUAUAAAUGUUGUUCAUGUUUGUCAA